GGGCCAGUACUGGUUUCGACGGGGGUUUUGAAGCUUUGGAAGCCAUCGGUGAGAGUCUGCACUCACCUAAAUAAACGGAUAACUAAAUAUAAACGCUAAAGAAAAUUACGCAUUAGCUGCCUAACGUGCAGCACGUCGGACCUGUGUAGCCCACUGCACAGGAGGAAAAGCCGCAAGGUCCCGCAGGGGUUCGCCCCUGUAACCGGCGUCAUCCAGGUGGGGAACUCUUUCUGCAAAGCUUUGAGCGGAAAGUAGAAACAUGAAGCUACCAAGUUGCUAAGCCUGUCUGUGGGCGUUGCGAUAAGGGAAUGACAAAACAUAGACUGUGAUGGGAGAAACUGGAGUGAAUAGGCUUUCGGACAGGGGUUCGACUCCCCUCUGGUCCAUCA
rnacentral:tmRNA from 1 species